rnacentral:misc_RNA from 1 species
UCUCUCUCUCUCUCUCUUUUCCCCUUUUUUUUAACUCUAUUUUAGGCAUUUGGUCUCUGGCUAUGCUAAUUAUGAUUGAGGUGUGCAUAAUAACAGGCCAAAUUAUUCUGGAUCAACUCACUCGUGUAACAAAUAACAAGCUGGUCUAUUGUGCGCUAAUCCUCGCGUUGUAUUUUCAUUAAAAAUAGAAAUAAACAAUAUAAAUUAAAUGAAUUUAUGCAUUUUACUACCCCAAGAUCCCACUUGAAUCUUGUGCGAACUUGUGAAUAUAAGGGUCAUUUGCUUGAUAUGUUCUCCCAUUUGACACAUAAAAUAGUUGGUUGAGAGUUGAAGUAACAGCAAAUAAAAGGUGUGAACCCAUGGGACUCAAAAACAAAGUUUGCCACUGCCCGUGCGGUUCUGGAAGCACUUGAAACUUCCAGCAACAAAAUUCAAUUUAAUGCCAGCAAUUGUGGGUUGGGGUUAAAAACAGUGAUUGUGUAAUGGUUGGAUGAUUUUAACUGAAGGACUUGGAGUGAGACGGUGAAGAAAAGUUUUAGCAAAUGUAUACACUUUAUGAGCUAGACAAGUUUGGUGGCAGAAUUUAGUUUGGUGGCAGAAUUGUACACGCUUAUAGCAAGCAUCCAUUUACGGAUUUUGAUUGUGACUACUUCAUUUAUGCCCUAUUGAUGUUGCCAUGAGUCUCUGAUUAUUAGUCCAAUAUGUCAAAUUAGCCUAUCAAACAAAGAAAAUAGUAAGGUCAGUGGUCUAUUGGUCAAUUACUCCAGUACUUAAGUUAAAGAUGCUAAUAGAGAGUUGUAGAGUGAAUAAUAGUAAAUUUUGUAAUUAAUAAAAUAAAUGUAUUUGAUUAAUGUCUAUUUCUCAUAUUUA